rnacentral:rRNA from 1 species
AGAGUUUGAUCAUGGCUCAGGAUGAACGCUAGCUACAGGCUUAACACAUGCAAGUCGAGGGGAAACGACAUCGAAAGCUUGCUUUUGAUGGGCGUCGACCGGCGCACGGGUGAGUAACGCGUAUCCAACCUGCCCACCACUUGGGGAUAACCUUGCGAAAGUAAGACUAAUACCCAAUGACGUCUCUAGAAGACAUCUGAAAGAGAUUAAAGAUUUAUCGGUGAUGGAUGGGGAUGCGUCUGAUAGCUUGUUGGCGGGGUAACGGCCACCAAGGCUACGAUGUCUAGGGGUUCUGAGAGGAGGUCCCCCACACUGGAACUGAGACACGGUCCAGACUCCGUACGGGAGGCA